rnacentral:rRNA from 1 species
UACGGAAGGCAGCAGUGGGGAAUAUUGCACAAUGGGCGAAAGCCUGAUGCAGCUAUGCCGCGUGUAUGAAGAAGGCCUUAGGGUUGUAAAGUACUUUCAUCGGGGAGGAAAACAAAACUAAUAAUUUUAUUUCUUGACGUUACCCGAAAAAGAAGCACCGGCUAACUCCGUGCCAGCAGCCGCGGUAAUACGGAGGGUGCUAGCGUUAAUCAGAAUUACUGGGCGUAAAGAGCACGUAGGUGGUUUUUUUAAGUCAGAUGUGAAAUCCCUGGGCUUAACCUAGGAACUGCAUUUUGAAACUGAAAUACUAGAGUAUCGUAGAGGGAGGUAGAAUUCUAGGUGUAGCGGUGAAAUGCGUAGAUAUCUGGAGGAAUACCUGUGGCGAAAGCGGCCUCCUAAACGAAUACUGACACUGAGGUGCGAAAGCGUGGGGAGCAAACGAGGAUUAGAUACC